GUUUACAUAUAUUCAUAACUUACGGUCACAAGGAAAUGGUAAACAACUCAUUGCAUUGUGGAAAAAAGAUCAUGGUCUUUAAAAAUAAGACUACUCAAUAUGGCUAUAUCAGGUCCAGUACUCAUACACAUGACCUAUCUAUUCUUUUUCGUUACACAUUCGUGCAUUCGUGUAUAAAUGGAAUGGUUGCUAAUAUCAUCAAGAAUUAAUUGUGUGUGCUGUCCGAAUAACUAAUGACACAGGUGCAGACAGACAAAUAGAUCUAGUUAUAAACCAAACUUUAAAUGAAAUAACAGAAAAUCAAAAUAGUGCCUUAAUAUUGUAUUAUCCUAAUCCUUCCGAAGACAGGAACAGUCAAUACAGAUUACGUGAAACUGUUGAUACAAGUAUUCGAUCGGACAGAAGGAAUAUAAUACAAUCUAAUUCCAGAAUAGACAGUAACAGGUUAACACAUACUUUAGGCUUUUCAUUGUUAUCGAAUCACCCCAAAAUCGUUAUAGAUCUAAUUUGCAACCGUCUCCAUAUAUUAUGGUUUCAAGUUCACGAGACAUGGAAGGAAUUUCUCCUUUUGAUUAUGACCACAAUGAACACCAAAAUAGAAAUAAUGCAUGUAUUUCGAUGCACGAAUCUCCUUUCAUUGAUAUUCAUCGUAACAGACCCAAUUGGCGGAAUUCUGCAAAUACAGAAACCACAAGACAAAGAAUAUCGCGAACUGGUGUUAUGGCUAUCAACAAUUACUCACAUUUGAUAUGUAGCAUGAACAGCUUUUUUAGAUCGUUUCCUCCUGCUGCUUUCACCUAUACACCAAACAAUAACUCCUUACGAGAAACAAAUCGUCGUCAUUCAUAUAGUUCAAAAGGUACUAGCAAACAGAAACCGACUGUUUCUGAAUUAUCAGAACUUAACAGAACAGAAGCCAACAUUCAUUUAAAUAAAAGUAAUGAAAAAAUGCAAUGAUAUUCAUCUGUCGUACACAGACAAAUCUCAUCUAGAAAACAAUCACGUCGAAAGAGAUAUAAGCAGUCUAACAAUCUAACUGAUGAAUUAGAUGGUGGACGUAAUACUGCAACAAGACAAGACGUUACAGGACAAAAAACGACAAACUCAGAGCAAUCUUCAAUUUCUAACCACAACCACAACAAUCGAAUUAUCAACCACCAAACGAUAAGAACAGCUACAAGCUUUAAUAAUCCAGGCCCUGUCAUGACAAGAACAGUUGAUCCAAGUGAUGAAACGGAUGUCCAAAGUCGGUCAGAUACCAACAUAGGGGAAUAUGGAAGGGCUCUUGAACUGCAACAAAACAGUCUUCCAGAAGCCGCUAGGUCACUUAUUGACAGUGGUCAUAACGAACGUAAUGUUCGGACAGCAUUAGUCAGGUUUUCUCAGACAAGAG